GCUGGACUAAUACAUUAAUUUUCGGUUGUCACAAUAUUUAUAUAUCUUUGUAGACAAUAUGUAUCUGGUAUAAUAACUAAUAAAUAUUAAAUACAUACAGAUAUUGGAAAUCUACAUAGAUAAAUAUCAGUUGAGUUUCCAGAACUAUGAAUAUUCAUUUUAAUUGGAAUAAAUAAUAUGUAUUGGCUACAAUUACAAACACUUAAAAAUUCCUAAUAUUAAAAGAUCCGUGAAUGAUAAAACAAAUUAGUACCUGAAUAAAAUUGACUUGAGAAAGACAGCUCUGGCAUAAAAAUGCAAAAAUAAUUCCCAUGAUCGAGUCGAGGCACAAAUCACUCGGCAAUGGCUCUGACGAUGAGAAUGACUGUGAGUCGGACUCGAACUCGAAAGCGAAGCGAAGCGAAGCGAGUCGAAUCGAAUCGAAGCCGAAAAAUGCAAAUAGAGUGACAAUUUCCCAGCACGUUCAAACGGAGGCAAACUCAUUAAUUAAGUCAGCGGUGGUGUUGGCUUUCCAUCGGUAUUUGCCAUACAAAUGUUUUAAACUAAUGGUCAUACUCGCAGAAUGAAGAACUAUCCGUCGUACUAUGGCCCCGUCCAGAACAGGCGACAACUCCAGCAAUUAACAAAUUUAUAAUUUCCAAACGUUUGCGACGAUGAGACAGCCGCCAGACGGGCAAUUGGCGACAGCGGCGAAUUAAAAUUACAGACAACACAAUGAAUAAAUAGAGAUACAUAUAGACAGAUAGAUGGAUGGAUAGAUGGAUCGAUAUACCCCCGAUAGAGUCUUGAACCGCACAAAUAAAUAAAGGUUCAAUUUUACGUCAUAAAAAAGCGUUAGAAACGUGAUUGAAAUCUGUGAGAAAUGUACUCGUAUUGGAAGAACGACAACUAACCAACUCGUCGAAGCGGAGGCGCCUCGAGGCGACACAUAUCGCACCACGAACGUGUCUGCCACGUCUGCGCAUGCGCAGCCAACAGCCAACAACCACAGCAAUAACAACAGCAACAGCAACGGCAACUGCUGCAGGAACAGCACUCUGAAAGCAGCGUGUGUAUCUC